rnacentral:rRNA from 1 species
UGCUUAAUUGCGUUUCAAAAUUUACCUUGAGGACCGGGUUUUGGUUUGGCUAGUGGUUCUACGAUGACUGUGAACUGUCAUGUCUUCGGAUGUGCGACUAUUGGUCUAGGAUCACAUGACUUGCCCCUGGGACUCUUUUGAACGCAACGGACGUGAUUGCAACCCCUUGUUGAGAUUAGAGAUAGUCUCGAUAUUCACUGGACAAACUGGCUGCUUUAUGCAGUCUUGUUGAAUGGUGGAUAAACUCGGGGGACUGCUGACUAUAACCAUUUCUCAAAACAGAGGAAGGUUGCGGCAAUAACAGGUCUGUGAUGCCCUCAGAUGUCCCGGGCUGCACACGUGCUACAAUGAGUGGCGCAAUGUGCUAAUGUUUAAGGGAUAAGAGUGUGGUCAGUAGAACGUCGGGAUUUCCCCUGACGUCUCCCCCGCACGAUUAUCAGCCUUCCCUUAACAGGGCGGGCAACCUUUUCAAAAUACUGGUUUGAUGUUAAAGUAUUGAGUCGUUUUUUUUGGAUGGUGGUUUGUUAACCAAUACCAUCCGGCAACUGCUCGCGAGUUUGUGGUUCUGGCGACUCAUGGUGGGGACCGACGUUUGUAAUUUUUUGUCGCGUGUUAACUAGGAAUGCCUUGUACUGUCGAUUCACUAAGUUACUGGGAAUACGUCCCUGCCCUUUGUACACACCGCCCGUCGCUCUUACC